ACAAAUCUCAUGGGAAAAUAGUACAAAUAUAAAAGAAAGGUCCAAUCAUGAGGAGAAGAUGUCAACCUUAGAAGAUCUUCAUCCUUGAUCUCUAACAAAAAAAAGUUUAUGGGUAAGUUUUCUUUAUUUUGAUGGAAUUAUUUUCUUGAAACCUAUGAUUAUUACAUGACUUAUGAUUUUCAAUUAGUUUUUAUUAUUAAGUGGUUUUGUUAAUAUUUAUCAUACAAAACAUGGGCGAAACUAAGAUUUUUCGAUUGAGCAAUUUGAUGGGACCAAUCGAAAGACCUUAAGGUUAUGGGGUUUGGCGUACUGUAGAUGCUACACCUGGUCAAAUACAUCGAAUAGUUUUUGCAGCAUAGGUUUUUGAAUCAUAGAUUUGUAGGCAAUCACAUAUACAUAGAUAUGGAUAGCAUAGGUUUUUGAAUCAUAGAUUUGUAGGCAAUCACAUAUACAUAGAUAUGGAUGAUGGGUGUAAAGUUUAAAGUGUAUAGUUAUAGUGAAACUCCGUAGCUUUUGCAUAAUAGAUUCAUAUACCAUUCAAUCCGGACAUUACCGAAAUUCGGUAGCUUUUGCAUGAUAGAUUCAUACACAAUCAUAUACCAUUCAAUCUACACACUAGUAGAUGAGCAUCUGUCACGGAUUUGAACCUCAAUCAAGUAUCGUGUAACACUUGAAAGUGUACAAUUUGUACACUCGUAGGCAUAAUAGUGCACAUGUGCGACACACAAAAGUGCAAGUGCACUAGUGCGCCACUGGAUAGUGCCCACAAGUGUGCGCCAUCAAUGGUCUGCAACCUAAUGAUGCUUCUACAUGUUUUUUGUGUAACUUACUGGUGGAUUUAAAAAACCUCGCGAAUUGACUCGAGUCGGGUUAACGGUGACAUCGAUUGUCCGCAACCUAAUGAUGCUUCUACAUGUUUUUCAUGUACCUCACCGGUGGAUUUUUAAAAACCUCGCGAAUUGACUCGGUUUAAUGGUCCGCAACCUAAUAAUGCUUCUACAUGUUUUUCUUCUAACUCACCGGUGGAUUUUAAAAACCUUGCGAAUUGACUCGGGUUAUGCCAUCAUUGGUCCACAGCCUAAUAAUGUUUCUACAUGUUUUUCUUGUAACUCACCGGUGGAUUUUAAAAACCUCGCGAAUUGACUUGGGUUACCGGUGUGGUUUUGGCAGUAUUGACCACGGACCAAAUUCAUAUCUUAAUCAAUGACCAAAUUCAUAUCUUAAUCAAUGAUGCUCUAAUAGAAUAAAAUAGAAUUGUUUUUAGUAUAAAUAGGAAUAUGUUCUAAAACGUUUUUGAUACCGGCUUCAAAAAAGUUAUAGAACGUAUUCCUAUUUAUACUAAGAACAAACGUUUUUGAUACCGGCUUCAAAAAAGUUAUAGAACGUAUUCCUAUUUAUACUAAGAACAAUUCCAUUUGAUUCUAUUACAGCAACAUUGAUAAAGAUAUGAAUUAUCUAACAUAUGAUUAUUCGAAUCCCCUAAAUUUAGGAAUUACAAUUGUGUGAGAUGAGUUGGAUAACAUGAACUUGAAUUGGUUAGGAUGGUUUGUAGAUGCUGCACUCUGGAAUACACCCUCUGGAAUACAUCGGGUGAUUUUGCACAAUCGAUCUACAAUUAAAAAAAUUACCUACAUGUAUACGUGCGUAGUGGAUGAUUAUUUAUGUAGAUCUGUGGUGUAAAAUUACCCGGUACAUUUCACCAGGUGAAGCAACUCAUAGACCUAUCCAUGGUAAUGUAAUAUGUGAAUAUACUAAAUUCCUUGAUAAAUUGCAUAAUGAUAGUGUUUAAAUUUUUCCAUGGAUUACACCAUCCAUGAUCAUGUAAUUAGUGAUUACCUUAAUGCUAUAUCAUGUAUAGCAUUGUGUACAUUAUUUUUAUUAUUAUUUCUCUAUAUUAUACAGAUUAUGCAUUGUAUGUUAUUAGGGGUAUAAAAUAGAAACAAAAGUUAUCCAAAAUACCCUAAUAUUUUGAAAUAGAUUUUUCGUUCUAGUUUUUGAAAUUUUGAUUUUAGUUUUUUUCCUUAACAUGUUAAUUUCAAUUUUACUUUUCUUCUGCCCUUUAGCUUAAUUAAUGGAUCGUUGUUGUUGUUCUUUACGUGUUGCUUGAAUAUAGGUAAUGUGGAGACUGAAACUUUCUGAAGGAGACAGUUUUGGGAUUUUGAUCCAAUCCCAUGAAGAAAAAGCUCGAUUUGACUUCGAAGAACAAGCUUGAGUUGACUUUCGGAAAAGCCGUUAUGAGAUCAAGUAAGGUUCAGGUGACAGCAAAUCCUUAAACUAAAGUUGUCUUAUUUUUAUGUGACAUUAAAGUUUGUUUUGGAUAAAAUCUGCAUCUCAUUAAAAAAUCAGUAGCUGUAUACAAUUUUGUCAAAUCUCUCUAUAAUCUAUUUACACUUUUAUCCGCUCCUAGGCAGGCCGAUUUAUAUGGAGGCUACUUGCUCUACAGAGUAUAUCUAUACGCGAUCAUGAAGAAUGGUUUUUCUUGUCGGCAAAAUUAGAGAUAUGAUUUUUCAUUGCUGUUAAUUCUCGAUCCUAGACGUCAGUUCUUCAAGAUCUUCAACUGCUUUGUCAACGGCAUGAAGGAUCAUCUUCUUGAUCUGCACGAUAUAAAUUUUGGUAAUUAUUCUCUCAUUUUUUUUAUAUAUUUUUUUAAUUGUCAAAUGGGAUAUUAAAAAGCUACCUCUAAUUUGUCUUCUCUGGCUCUAUGUUCUCUUGGCAGCUUCCUGAAUUCUUCAGUCAGUCUGAGGCAUUCAUGUAAGUUUUCGGGAGAAACGAAAUCUGCAGCAACUUUUGUGCAUGACUGCGAUAGUAGCGAAC
rnacentral:lncRNA from 1 species